ncrna:unclassified sequences RAGATH-21 RNA
UGAAUAUGUCCUUAAUAGAAACAGAUUCGAGCGGAAUCUGGAGGUUGAAAAGCGGAUGCAAUUUCCGACAUAUUCA